GCAGGUUACACCACCCCCAACCUGGACCCCAUCCAAUAGGCUCGUGGUCCCUGAUGGUCCUGGACCACUGAUUUGAGGCCUUUCUGCUUCCUUUGAUUCAGUCUUUGGCAGAGACCCAGGAGCAGGAGUCCUUGAUGGCACCUGGCCCUUUCUAGUCACCGACAAGGGAAACCUGAGAAACCAUUCUCAGAAAUGGAACUAAAUUGACACAGCAUUUGUCUCCUCCAGAGGAUACAGCACCAAGGCGCCAUCUUGGAAGUAGACUGGAGCUCUUAGCAGACCAGAACCUGUGGAUGCCAGACUCAUCAACAAAGGCCCACUUGUUCCUUGGGAUUUGUGUCUUGAUGCAUUCUCAAAGAGAGGUUUCCAGGGCACCAGUCACCUGCAGCUCACCUGAAGAUGGCACAUGGCAUGUCGCUGUGCCCCCCUCCCCAUCCAUGUGCUCUACCUGGCAACUUGUUUCUCCCCACCUGAAAGUUGACCUGAGAUGAAACUUGCUAAGGUAAAAAUGAUACUGAACACAUCAGUUCAAGGGUGUCCCCCAACAUGGUGGGGGAC
rnacentral:lncRNA from 10 species